UAGGGAAUCUUCCACAAUGGACGCAAGUCUGAUGGAGCAACGCCGCGUGAGUGAAGAAGGUUUUCGGAUCGUAAAGCUCUGUUGUUGGUGAAGAAGGAUAGAGGCAGUAACUGGUCUUUAUUUGACGGUAAUCAACCAGAAAGUCACGGCUAACUACGUGCCAGCAGCCGCGGUAAUACGUAGGUGGCAAGCGUUGUCCGGAUUUAUUGGGCGUAAAGCGAGCGCAGGCGGAAUGAUAAGUCUGAUGUGAAAGCCCACGGCUCAACCGUGGAACUGCAUCGGAAACUGUCAUUCUUGAGUGCAGAAGAGGAGAGUGGAACUCCAUGUGUAGCGGUGGAAUGCGUAGAUAUAUGGAAGAACACCAGUGGCGAAGGCGGCUCUCUGGUCUGCAACUGACGCUGAGGCUCGAAAGCAUGGGUAGCGAACAGGAUUAGAUACCCUGGUAGUCCAUGCCGU
rnacentral:rRNA from 1 species